GAAACGACGUGCUAAUACCCCAUAUGCCUCUAAUACAAAAGUAUGCNAGGGAAAGGAUUUUUCGCUAAGGGAUUGGGCUAUAUCGUAUCANCUANUUGGUGAGGUAAAGGCUCACCAAGGCUAUGACGCGUAGCUGGUCUGANAGGAUGAUCANCCACACUGGAACUGANACACGGUCCAGACUCCUACGGGANGCANCAGUGAGGAAUAUUGCACAAUGGGGGAAACCCUGNUGCANCAACGCCGCGUGGAGGAUGACGCAUUUCGGUGUGUAAACUCNUUUUAUAACGGAAGAUGAUGACGGUACCUAAUGAAUAAGCACCGGCUAACUCCGUGCCAGCAGCCGCGGUAAUACGGAGGGUGCAAGCGUUACUCGGAAUCACUGGGCGUAAAGCGCGCGCAGGCGGAUUGGAAAGUCAGAAGUGAAAGCCUACAGCUCAACUGUAGAACUGCUUCUGAAACUCUCAAUCUAGAAUCUGGAAGAGGUAAGUGGAAUUAGUGGUGUAGGGGUAAAAUCCGCAGAGAUCACUAGGAAUACCAAAAGCGAAGGCAACUUACUGGGACAGUAUUGACGCUGAGGCGCG
rnacentral:rRNA from 1 species